UACAGAGCCUGCGAGCGUUAUUCGGAUUCACUGGGCGUAAAGGGUGCGCAGGCGGCCAAGUGUGUGAGGCGUGAAAGCCCGGGGCUUAACCCCGGAAUUGCACCUCAAACUACAUGGCUAGAGCAUUGGAGAGGGUAGCAGAAUUCACGGUGUAGCAGUGAAAUGCGUAGAUAUCGUGAGGAAUACCAGAGGCGAAGGCGGCUACCUGGACAAUUGCUGACGCUCAGGCACGAAAGCGUGGGGAGCAAAAGGG
rnacentral:rRNA from 1 species